rnacentral:rRNA from 1 species
AGUUUGAUCCUGGCUCAGGAUGAAUGCUGGCGGCGUGCCUAAUACAUGCAAGUCGAGCGGUAACGGCCCGUUCGGGGUACACGAGCGGCGGACGGCUGAGUAACGCGGUGGGAACAUGACCCCAAAGUGAGGGAUAACGCACCGAAAGGUGUGCUAAUACCGCAUAUGGUCUUCGGAUUAAAGGAUUUAUCCGCUUUGGGAGUGGCCCGCGUACGAUUAGAUUGUUGGUGAGGUAACGGCUCACCAAGUCGACGAUCGUUAACUGGUCUGAGAGGAUGAUCAGUCAGACUGGAACUGAGACACGGUCCAGACUCCUACGGGAGGCAGCAGUAAGGAAUCUUCCACAAUGGGCGAAAGCCUGAUGGAGCAACGCCGCGUGCAGGAUGAAGGCCCUCGGGUCGUAAACUGCUUUUAUGAGUGAAGAAUAUGACGGUAACUCAUGAAUAAGCCACCGGCUAACUACGUG